CCUACGGGUGGCAGCAGUGAGGAAUAUUGGUCAAUGGGAGGAAUCCUGAACCAGCCAUGCCGCGUGCAGGACGACGGCUCUACGAGUUGUAAACUGCUUUUGUACCGGGGUAAAAUGCCUUACGUGUAGGGUUUUGAAAGUACGGUACGAAUAAGGAUCGGCUAACUCCGUGCCAGCAGCCGCGGUAAUACGGAGGAUCCGAGCGUUAUCCGGAUUCGUUGGGUUUAAAGGGUGCGUAGGUUGUUGUAUAAGUUAGCGGUGAAAGACCGAGGCUCAACAUCGGGGCUGCCGCUAAUACUGUAGGACGAGAGAUCGGAUGAAGCAGGCGGAAUGUGUAGUGUAGCGGUGAAAUGCAUAGAUAUUACACAGAACACCGAUGGCGAAGGCAGCUUGCUAGGCCGGAUCUGACACUGAUGCACGAAAGCGUGGGGAUCGAACAGGAUUAGAUACCCCGGUAGUC
rnacentral:rRNA from 1 species